AGAGUUUGAUCAUGGCUCAGAAUCAACGCUGGCGGCGUGCCUAACACAUGCAAGUCGAACGCGGUUUCCCCGCAAGGGGAAACUGAGUGGCGAACGGGUGAGUAACACGUGGGUGACCUGCCUUCGAGUGGGGGAUAACAUCCCGAAAGGGGUGCUAAUACCGCAUGACAUCCUGCCUUUGAAGAGGUGGAGAUUAAAGCUGGGGAUCGCAAGACCUGGCGCUUGAAGAGGGGCCCGCGUCCGAUUAGCUAGUUGGUGGGGUAAUGGCCUACCAAGGCGACGACCGGUAGCCGGCCUGAGAGGGCGGACGGCCACACUGGGACUGAGACACGGCCCAGACUCCUACGGGAGGCAGCAGUGGGGAAUUGUUCGCAAUGGGCGCAAGCCUGACGACGCAACGCCGCGUGGAGGACGAAGAUCUUCGGGUCGUAAACUCCUUUCGAUCGGGACGAAUGGCCGGUGGCCUAAUACGCCAUCGGAAUGACGGUACCGAGAGAAGAAGCCCCGGCUAACUCCGUGCCAGCAGCCGCCGUAAC
rnacentral:rRNA from 1 species